UAGGGAAUCUUCCGCAAUGGACGCAAGUCUGACGGAGCAACGCCGCGUGAGUGAAGAAGGUUUUCGGAUCGUAAAACUCUGUUGUUAGAGAAGAACAAGUGCUAGAGUAACUGUUAGCGCCUUGACGGUAUCUAACCAGAAAGCCACGGCUAACUACGUGCCAGCAGCCGCGGUAAUACGUAGGUGGCAAGCGUUGUCCGGAUUUAUUGGGCGUAAAGCGAGCGCAGGCGGUUCCUUAAGUCUGAUGUGAAAGCCCCCGGCUCAACCGGGGAGGGUCAUUGGAAACUGGGGAACUUGAGUGCAGAAGAGGAGAGUGGAAUUCCAUGUGUAGCGGUGAAAUGCGUAGAUAUAUGGAGGAGCACCAGUGGCGAAGGCGACUCUCUGGUCUGUAACUGACGCUGAGGCUCGAAAGCGUGGGUAGCAAACAGGAUUAGAUACCCUGGUAGUCCACGCCGUAAACGAUGAGUGCUAAGUGUUGGAGGGUUUCCGCCCUUUAGUGCUGCAGUUAACGCAUUAAGCACUCCGCCUGGGGAGUACGACCGCAAGGUUG
rnacentral:rRNA from 1 species